AACGAACGCUGGCGGCAUGCCUAACACAUGCAAGUCGAACGCCCGUAGCAAUACAGGAGUGGCAGACGGGUGAGUAACACGUGGGAAUCUACCCAGUAGCUCGGAAUAACCGCGGGAAACUGCGGCUAAUACCGGAUAAGCCCCGAGGGGGAAAGGAGCAAUCCACUAUUGGAGGAGCCCGCGUCUGAUUAGCUAGUUGGUGAGGUAACGGCUCACCAAGGCGACGAUCAGUAGCUGGUUUGAGAGAACGACCAGCCACACUGGGACUGAGACACGGCCCAGACUCCUACGGGAGGCAGCAGUGGGGAAUAUUGGACAAUGGGGGAAACCCUGAUCCAGCAAUGCCGCGUGGGUGAUGAAGGCCUUCGGGUUGUAAAGCCCUUUUGUCGGGGACGAUGAUGACGGUACCCGACGAAUAAGCUCCGGCUAACUUCGUGCCAGCCGCCGCAGUAA
rnacentral:rRNA from 1 species